rnacentral:ncRNA from 2 species
ACCGCCUCCGAGGGGUGUCCUGUGAUGGGCUGAGAUGGCAGCAAUGCCGAACCCUUUGAACCUGAUCUGGGUCAUGCCAGCGAAGGGACGGGUCGACACCACAGC